UUGGCAGAAAUUAGGCUGGCAGAGCUUUGACCCAAUGAGCACAAAUCAAAUACUGAAUUUUGGAUGUUGCAAUAUCUGACCUGACUGCAGAAAAUCCUUCUAUUGAAGGAUGGACCCCAGACCGAAGUUGUCCCCUCCUCAAACUUGUGCUGCCCGGACAGUCCCAAGGGAGCCCUACAAACUGACAUCAGGAACCUGAACUGGUGAGUUUUCUUUCCCAGGGAAAAUGGCCAAAGGAUGUGCCCAGGGGCCCCUGGCCCUGGCCUGGGCCCUGACUGCAAAGAAUCCUUAUAUUGAAGAAUGGAUAGCAGACCGAAGAUGUCCCCACCUCAUACUUGUGCUGCCCUGAUAGACGCAAGGGAGCCCUACAAACUGACAUCAGGAACCUGGACUGGUGAGUUUUCUUUCCCAGGGAAAACGGCCAAUUGUCCCAGGGGCCGCUGGCCCUGGGCUGGGACCUGACUGCAAAAAGUCCAUAUAUCGAAGGAUGGACCCCAGACCAAAGUUGUCCCCAUGUCAAAAUUUUACUGCCCAGACCGUCCUAAGGGAGCCCAACAAACUAACAUCAGGAACCUGGACUGGUGAGUUUUCUUUCCCAGGGAAAAUGGCCAAAGGAUGUGCCUAGGGGCCCUUGGCCCUGGGCUGGGACCUCACUGCAAAAAAUCCUUAUAUCGAAGGAUGGACCCCAGAGCGAAGUUGUCCCCACCUCAUACUUGUGCUGCCCUGAUAGACCCAAGGGAGCCCUACAAACUGACAUCAGGAACCUGGACUGGUGAGUUUUCUUUCCCAGGGAAAAUGGCCAAAGGAUGUGCCCAGGGGCCCCUGGCACUGGGCUGGGCCCUGACUGCAAAAAAUCCAUAUAUCGAAGGAUGGACCCCAGGCCGAAGUUGUCCCCACCUCAAACUUGUGCUGCUCUGAUAGACCCAAGGGAGCCCUACAAACUGAUAUCAGGAACCUGCACUUGUGAGUUUUCUUUCCCAGGGACAAUGGCCAAUAUAUGUGCCCAGGGGCCCCUGGCCCAGAGCUAGGACCUGAGUGCAUAAAAUCCUUAUAUCGAAGGAUGUACCCCAGACCGAAGUUGGCCCCUCCUCAAACUUGUGCUGCGCUGAUAGACCCAAGGGAGCCCUACAAACUGACAUCAGGAACCUGAACUAGUGAGUUUUCUUUCCCAGGGAAAAUGGCCAAAAU
rnacentral:lncRNA from 1 species